rnacentral:misc_RNA from 1 species
GAUGAAGAACGUAGCGAAAUGCGAUAAGUAAUGUGAAUUGCAGAAUUCAGUGAAUCAUCGAAUCUUUGAACGCGUCUUGCGCUCCUUGGUAUUCUGAGGAGCAUGCCUGUUUGAGUGUCAUUAAAUUCUCAACUACACUGACUUUGAAUUGGUGUGGCUUGGAUUUGGGGGGAAAAUUGUUGUGGGCUUUUUGUAUAGUCUGCUCCCCUGAAAUUGAUUAGCGGUACCUUUGUGGAACUGUCUACAGGUGUGAUAAUUAUCUACAUCAUAGACAUCUGCUGGAAUGCUGCUUUCUAAACCUUACUUGUAUUGACAAUCUUGACCUCAAAUCAGGUAGGACUACCCGCUGAACUUAAGCAUAUCAAUAAGCGGAGGA